AAACAAGAGGGCCUUUACCCUUGAUUUAAAGUAGCUCAGAGUUUCAGCUGUUUUGCAGUUUUAUGGAAGUUUGUUCCAGAUUUGUGGUGCAUAGGAGCUGAAUACUGCUUCUCCCUGUUUGGUUCAGGUUCUGGUGAUGUAAAUGCUAUCCAAGUGU